GACGUAGGGCGCGAGCGUUGUCCGGAUUUAUUGGGCGUAAAGAGCUCGUAGGCGGUUCGGUAAGUCGGGUGUGAAAACUCUGGGCUCAACCCAGAGAGGCCACCCGAUACUGCCGUGACUGGAGUGCGGUAGGGGAGUGGGGAAUUCCUGGUGUAGCGGUGAAAUGCGCAGAUAUCAGGAGGAACACCAGUGGCGAAGGCGCCACUCUGGGCCGUAACUGACGCUGAGGAGCGAAAGCGUGGGGAGCGAACAGG
rnacentral:rRNA from 1 species